rnacentral:rRNA from 1 species
AUUGAACGCUGGCGGCAGGCCUAACACAUGCAAGUCGAACGAGUGGCGGACGGGUGAGUAAUGUCUGGGAAACUGCCUGAUGGAGGGGGAUCACUACUGGAAACGGUAGCUAAAACCGCAUACCAUCGGAUGUGCCCAGAAGGGAGUAGCUAGUAGGUGGGGUAAAGGCUCACCUAGGCGUUGAUCCCUAGCUGGUCUGAGAGGAUGACCGGCAAAACUGGAACUGGGACACGGUCCAGACUCCUAGGGGAGGCAGAGGUGGGGAAUAUUGCACAAUGGGGGCAAGCCUGAGGCAGACAUGCCGCGUGGAUGAAGAAGGCCUUCGGGUUGUAAAGUACUUUCAGCGGGGAGGCGUUACCCGCAGAGGAAGCACCGGCUAACUCCGUGCCAGCAGCCGCGGUAAUAC